AGGAGGAGCCCUGUACAUACACAAUACAGAACGUUUAUAUAACUUAUAUAUACUCUAAAGUAAAUAUACUAUUUAUUUAUUAAUUCCAACCAUGUCCAAAUUCAAUGCAGAUUAGAUACCUUCGAUCGAUUACCGAAGAUCUACCAGAAGAAGCGGUGUUAUUUAGUGAUGGAAGGGAAAAGAAGAAGACAAGAAAAACUGAAACCAGAGAAUUAG